UCCUUGCUGCUUCUUUCCAUGCAUUUUGA
rnacentral:piRNA from 1 species